CAUUAUAUAAGUUGCCCCCCGCCAUAGUUUUAGUCUAUUUGGGUUUGCGUUUAGAGAACGGUCCUUUUUCAUUUCAGAAUGAUCCUGGGGAGUAAAUGCCACACAGAUGCUUUUCAGGUUAUGAUGGCCAAAUGCUCCUCAUCCAUGUAUUUGGACAAACUGAGGCUUCAGUCUUUAUCGGCCAUCUCAACUGGGUGAAAUGUACUUGGUCUUGCUUUUAAUGUUGCCAUUGACAAGUUUGGGCCAGUGCUGAACUACUCGAGUGGCUUGAGUACAACUGCAUGUAAUGCAAGGCAACUUCUGUGAUGUGGACCUAGACUAUAGCCAUAUGUGACUCCUGUGACAUGGAACUAGAGACUUGGCCAUAUGUGACUUGAAGUGUACCCUGCUGAAGGAAGCAAAGUUGGCUGUCCGAUUCUAAUGUUUCAUGGGAAAGUCUGCAGUCUCAUGGGGAUAUACAGAAUGCAAGCAAUUUAGGAGCCUGGGGGUUUGUCUAUUAAAAAUGUAAAAGUAAAUGGUUGUCUUGAUUUGGUCGUAACAGAUUAUCCAGUAUAAUAAACAAGUUUGGUAAAGCUU